UUUUAUAUUUCUCAGGGGCAAAUUAUUAUUUAUCUCCUUCUAUUUUGAUCAUCAUGGAAUACAAUAUUUAUCUAUCCUAAAGGCAAAUGGAUCCAAAUAUAUUCUAAUUCAAAAAUCGUUAAUCGAAUAAGGACACACACACGCACAAAUUUUCAUCAAAAUCUAAGCUUUUCGAAGCUGGGCCAAGUGGUUUAUUUGAUUUGAUACACAUUUUAUAUCAUCAUCAUUAGCAUCACCAUCAUACUGAACAUAUCAAUGAUUUCAACCAAAAAAAGUUUGAUCCUGAUCAUAUUGACCUCCUUGUUUACCAUGAUGAUCAUGAUUGGCGACAAGGUGUGUUAGUGUGCCAUUUCGGAAAUAUCAAAUAUAUGUACAGGCUAAUAAAUCACGAUAUCGG